GCCCGCCUCGCUCGGCUCCGCCUCCGCGCACCCCGCUCCAAUGGCCGCUACGGCUGUGACCCUGCCCUCCUCGGGCGUCCCCUUCCCCGUCUCCAACACCGCCGCACGGCGCUGUUUGCUUCUCCCCUCCGCUCCUUCCCGCCGAGCUCUCCGCGUCGUCGCCUCCGCGGCCACGGAGGCGCCGCCGAAGCCGACCCCGCCGCCGACCUCGCCCUCCGGCAUCGUGCUCGUCGACCCCUCCGAGGCCCAGAGGGUGCACCGGCUCAAGGCCGUCUACGACCAGAAGGUUGUCCCGCUCAUCACCGAGGAGUUCGGCUACACAAAUGUCCACCAGGUGCUCGACGCUACUCCUCACCGUAGAAACCAGAAACGGCAGCCAUUUAGCGCUUAACUAGGCUGGUUCAUCGCUUCGGUUUCCUUGAUUGAAUUUUGAGGUGUGUAUGGGGGGUGGGUGGUUCGACUAGGUGCCCAAACUUGAGAAGAUUGUGGUGAAC
rnacentral:lncRNA from 1 species